rnacentral:rRNA from 1 species
GACGAACGCUGGCGGCGUGCUUAACACAUGCAAGUCGAACGGAAAGGCUCCAGCUUGCUGGAGUACUCGAGUGGCGAACGGGUGAGUAACACGUGGGUAAUCUGCCCUGCACUCUGGGAUAAGCCUGGGAAACUGGGUCUAAUACUGGAUAUGACCUUUCUCCUUAUGGGGUUUGGUGGAAAGUUUUUCGGUGUAGGAUGAGCCCGCGGCCUAUCAGCUUGUUGGUGGGGUGAUGGCCUACCAAGGCGACGACGGGUAGCCGGCCUGAGAGGGUGAUCGGGCACAUUGGGACUGAGAUACGGAGCAGACUCCUACGGGAGGCAGCAGUGGGGAAUAUUGCACAAUGGGAGGAAGCCUGAUGCAGAGACGCCGCGUGAGGGAUGACGGCCUUCGGGUUGUAAACCGCUUUCAGCAGGGACGAAGCGUAAGUGACGGUACCUGCAGAAGAAGCACCGGCUAACUAUGUG